AGAGUUUGAUCCUGGCUCAGAACGAACGCUGGCGGCGCGCUUAACACAUGCAAGUCGAACGCGUGACCCAGCCGUAGCAAUACGGUUGGGAAGCGAGUGGCGGACGGGUGAGUAUCGCGUGGAUAAUCUGCCCUCGAGUGGGGAACAACCUUCCGAAAGGAGGGCUAAUUCCGCAGAUGCCGUCGGGACACAGGUUCCGGGGGCUGAAGUCGGGGCAACCUGACGCUUGAGGAGGAGUUCGCGUCCCAUUAGCUAGUUGGUAGGGUAAUGGCCUACCAAGGCUGUGAUGGGUAGCUGGUCUGAGAGGACGAUCAGCCACAGUGGCACUGAGAUACGGGCCACACUUCUACGGAAGGCAGCAGUGGGGAAUUUUCCGCAAUGGGCGAAAGCCUGACGGAGCGACGCCGCGUGUGGGAUGAAGGCUUUCGGGUCGUAAACCACUUUUAGGAAGGAAGAAUAAGUCGCGGUUAACUGCCGCGAUGAUGACGUUACUUCCAGAAAAAGCCCCGGCUAAUCCUACGUGCCAGCAGCCGCGGUAAUACGUAAGGGGCGAGCGUUGUUCGGAUUGACUGGGUGUAAAGGGUCAGCAGGCGGUCCUGUAAGUCGGGCGUGAAAUCCGGGGGCUUAACCCCCGAACUGCACUCGAUACUGCGGGACUUGAGUAUCGGAGAGGUGAGCGGAAUUCCUGGUGUAGCGGUGAAAUGCGUAGAUAUCAGGAGGAACACCGGUGGCGAAGGCGGCUCACUGGCCGAAUACUGACGCUCAGGGACGAAGGCGCGGGUAGCAAACAGGAUUAGAUACCCUGGUAGUCCGCGUAGUAAACUAUGCACACUAGGUGUGGGAGGUAUCGACCCCUUCCGUGCCGUAGCUAACGCGCUAAGUGUGCCACCUGGGGAGUACGCCCGCAAGGGUGAAACUCAAAGGAAUUGACGG
rnacentral:rRNA from 1 species